CUGUAGUUGACUCUCGAUCUUCAAUCCUCAUCGCUGUCUUCUCGUUUCCUUCCUUUGUAAAACCUUUUUCUUUUCUCUCUAACUGUCGUUUCUUUCUUGUCUCAGAUUCCCCCCUUCAGCUACUGAAAAUUACAUGUUUAUAGCCACCAAAAAGCCCUAAAAAUUGAAAUCCCCGUAUAGUUGAGUUCUAUUGAAACAUGUGAGAGUGUCCUGGACUUGCUUCUUGGGUGCCACGAUGUUCCACACUUGCAUAUUUGUUGUUUAGUGUUUUCCAACAAGUUCUAUGGCCUUUCUCCAUGUGCACUGUGCUGCUGAGCUCUAGGGAUUUUGU
rnacentral:lncRNA from 1 species